rnacentral:rRNA from 1 species
GAUGAACGCUGGCGGUGUGCCUAAUACAUGCAAGUCGAGCGAACAGACGAGGAGCUUGCUCCUCUGACGUUAGCGGCGGACGGGUGAGUAACACGUGGAUAACCUACCUAUAAGACUGGGAUAACUUCGGGAAACCGGAGCUAAUACCGGAUAAUAUAUUGAACCGCAUGGUUCAAUAGUGAAAGACGGUUUUGCUGUCACUUAUAGAUGGAUCCGCGCCGCAUUAGCUAGUUGGUAAGGUAACGGCUUACCAAGGCAACGAUGCGUAGCCGACCUGAGAGGGUGAUCGGCCACCCUGGAACUGAGACACGGUCCAGACUCCUACGGGAGGCAGCAGUAGGGAAUCUUCCGCAAUGGGCGAAAGCUUGACGGAGCAACGCCGCGUGAGUGAUGAAGGUCUUCGGAUCGUAAAACUCUGUUAUUAGGGAAGAACAAAUGUGUAAGUAACUAUGCACGUCUUGACGGUACCUAAUCAGAAAGCCACGGCUAACUACGUG